rnacentral:rRNA from 1 species
AAACUUAAAGGAAUUGACGGGGGCCCGCACAAGCGGUGGAGCAUGUGGUUUAAUUCGACGCUACGCGAAGAACCUUACCUGGGCUUGAACUGCUGGUGGUAGAAGCCCGAAAGGGUAACGACCCGGAGCAAUCCGGGAGCCAGUAGAGGUGCUGCAUGGCUGUCGUCAGCUCGUGUCGUGAGAUGUUGGGUUAAGUCCCGCAACGAGCGCAACCCUUACCCUUAGUUGCCAGCGGGUAAUGCCGGGCACUCUAAGGGGACCGCCCCGGAUAACGGGGAGGAAGGCGGGGAUGACGUCAAGUCAGCAUGGCCUUUAUGUCCAGGGCUACACACGUGCUACAAUGGUCGGUACAAAGGGUUGCCAAGCCGCGAGGUGGAGCUAAUCCCAUAAAACCGAUCGUAGUCCGGAUCGCAGUCUGCAACUCGACUGCGUGAAGUCGGAAUCGCUAGUAAUCGUGAAUCAGAAUGUCACGGUGAAUACGUUCCCGGGCCUU